GAUGAAGAACGUAGCGAAAUGCGAUAAGUAGUGUGAAUUGCAGAAUUCAGUGAAUCAUCGAAUCUUUGAACGCACAUUGCGCCCCUUGGUAUUCCAUGGGGCAUGCCUGUUCGAGCGUCAUUUGUACCUUCAAGCUCUGCUUGGUGUUGGGUGUUUGUCUCGCCUCUGCGUGUAGACUCGCCUCAAAACAAUUGGCAGCCGGCGUAUUGAUUUCGGAGCGCAGUACAUCUCGCGCUUUGCACUCAUAACGACGACGUCCAAAAGUACAUUUUUACACUCUUGACCUCAGAUCAGGUAGGGAUACCCGCUGAACUUAAGCAUAUCAAUAAGCGGAGGA
rnacentral:misc_RNA from 1 species